rnacentral:rRNA from 1 species
CCUACGGGAGGCAGCAGUGAGGAAUCUUGGUCAAUGGGCGCGAGCCUGAUCCAGCCAAGUAGCGUGAAGGAUGACUGCCCUACGGGUUGUAAACUUCUUUUAUAAAGGAAUAAAGUGAGGCACGUGUGCCUUUUUGUAUGUACUUUAUGAAUAAGGAUCGGCUAACUCCGUGCCAGCAGCCGCGGUAAUACGGAGGAUCCGAGCGUUAUCCGGAUUUAUUGGGUUUAAAGGGCGCGUAGAUGGGUUGUUAAGUCAGUUGUGAAAGUUUGCGGCUCAACCGUAAAAUUGCAAUUGAUACUGGCAGUCUUGAGUACAGGUGAGGUAAGCGGAAUUCGUGGUGUAGCGGUGAAAUGCUUAGAUAUCACGAAGAACUCCGAUUGCGAAGGCAGCUUACUAAACUGCAACUGACAUUGAUGCUCGAAAGUGUGGGUAUCAAACAGGAUUAGAUACCCGAGUAGUC